GUGCUCCCUGCAGGGUCCUAGUGCCCUAAACAUAGCUCAACCACAACUUAUUAUGUGCUUUCUCUAUGUUUGUUGUGGAUAGUUCCCUGGUGUCUGCAAAAGUGGGACAUCAGGGAACUAAGGUGGGAAAAUCAAGACUGUCCUGCUGAAGUUGGGACGGUUGGGAGGUAUUUUUUUUAACUACAGUUUGUUUUUGUUUGUGAAUCAAAGUUUAUUAAGUAUUCAUAUAUCAAACACAGCAUGAAGGACAAUGCCAUAAAAUUGUCAACAUAACACAUCCCAUAUACUAUAUAUAGCAACAGCAGAAGGGAGAAAUAUGGCGGGGGGGAAAGUGGAAAAGGAAUGUUAGAAAAAGAGAAGAAAAUGGAACUAUAUUGUAACGGAGUAAACUUGCAGAAGCCAGACACAGAGAGAUGGAUGCAGGUUUUCAGGAAGUAAGAGGUCUUUAUUAACAUACCGAUCGGGUCUCAGAUGAACUAACGUUCCAAAACAGGUCUGAGGGCCGAACACAUGGAGUACAUGCUUUUUAUAGAACUAUAACUCCCCCCAUUAGUAGCUCCAUCCGCACAUACCCUUAACCAAUCGGUGGACAGGAUUUGGAUUUCCUUAUAUGGGCAGACCACAUGGCUCAUCCGAAACAAAGGAGAAAGAAAUGUGAUUUCAGUUCCUGCAUUCCUGCACAUGCUCAGUACAUUGAUGACAGUAUCUUAGCUACGUGUAACUAAC